AUUGAACGCUGGCGGCAGGCUUAACACAUGCAAGCCGAGCGGGGGAAGGUAGCUUGCUACCGGACCUAGCGGCGGACGGGUGAGUAAUGCUUAGGAAUCUGCCUAUUAGUGGGGGACAACAUCUCGAAAGGGAUGCUAAUACCGCAUACGUCCUACGGGAGAAAGCAGGGGAUCUUCGGACCUUGCGCUAAUAGAUGAGCCUAAGUCGGAUUAGCUAGUUGGUGGGGUAAAGGCCUACCAAGGCGACGAUCUGUAGCGGGUCUGAGAGGAUGAUCCGCCACACUGGGACUGAGACACGGCCCAGACUCCUACGGGAGGCAGCAGUGGGGAAUAUUGGACAAUGGGGGGAACCCUGAUCCAGCCAUGCCGCGUGUGUGAAGAAGGCCUUAUGGUUGUAAAGCACUUUAAGCGAGGAGGAGGCUACUUUAGUUAAUACCUAGAGAUAGUGGACGUUACUCGCAGAAUAAGCACCGGCUAACUCUGUGCCAGCAGCCGCGGUAAUACAGAGGGUGCGAGCGUUAAUCGGAUUUACUGGGCGUAAAGCGUGCGUAGGCGGCUUAUUAAGUCGGAUGUGAAAUCCCCGAGCUUAACUUGGGAAUUGCAUUCGAUACUGGUGAGCUAGAGUAUGGGAGAGGAUGGUAGAAUUCCAGGUGUAGCGGUGAAAUGCGUAGAGAUCUGGAGGAAUACCGAUGGCGAAGGCAGCCAUCUGGCCUAAUACUGACGC
rnacentral:rRNA from 1 species